UACAGAGGUGGCAAGCGUUGUUCGGAAUUACUGGGCGUAAAGGGCGCGUAGGCGGCCUACUAAGUCAGACGUGAAAUCCCCCGGCUUAACCUGGGAACUGCGUCUGAUACUGGAAGGCUUGAGGAUGGGAGAGGGAUGUAGAAUUCCAGGUGUAGCGGUGAAAUGCGUAGAUAUCUGGAGGAAUACCGAUGGCGAAGGCAGGUCUCGUGGGCUGACACUGACGCUCAUGCACGAAAGCGUGGGGAGCAAACAGG
rnacentral:rRNA from 1 species